UGGGGAAUUUUGGACAAUGGGCGCAAGCCUGAUCCAGCAAUGCCGCGUGCAGGAUGAAGGCCUUCGGGUUGUAAACUGCUUUUGUACGGAACGAAACGGUUCUCUCUAAUACAGGGGGCUAAUGACGGUACCGUAAGAAUAAGCACCGGCUAACUACGUGCCAGCAGCCGCGGUAAUACGUAGGGUGCGAGCGUUAAUCGGAAUUACUGGGCGUAAAGCGUGCGCAGGCGGUUAUGUAAGACAGAUGUGAAAUCCCCGGGCUCAACCUGGGACCUGCAUUUGUGACUGCAUAGCUAGAGUACGGUAGAGGGGGAUGGAAUUCCGCGUGUAGCAGUGAAAUGCGUAGAUAUGCGGAGGAACACCGAUGGCGAAGGCAAUCCCCGUGGACCUGUACUGACGCUC
rnacentral:rRNA from 1 species